rnacentral:tRNA from 1 species
CAUUAUGAAGCUAAAUAGCAUUAACCUUUUAAGUUAAAGAUAGAGAGCUCAAACCUCUCCAUAAUGA